rnacentral:rRNA from 1 species
UACGUAGGGCGCAAGCGUUGUCCGGAAUUAUUGGGCGUAAAGAGCUCGUAGGCGGCGUGUCGCGUCGGAUGUGAAAGCCCGGGGCUUAACUCCGGGUCUGCAUUCGAUACGGGCAUGCUUGAGUGUGGUAGGGGAGAUCGGAAUUCCUGGUGUAGCGGUGAAAUGCGCAGAUAUCAGGAGGAACACCGGUGGCGAAGGCGGAUCUCUGGGCCAUUACUGACGCUGAGGAGCGAAAGCGUGGGGAGCGAACAGG